rnacentral:rRNA from 1 species
GACGAACGCUGGCGGCGUGCCUAAUACAUGCAAGUAGAACGCUGAAGGAGGAGCUUGCUUCUCUGGAUGAGUUGCGAACGGGUGAGUAACGCGUAGGUAACCUGCCUGGUAGCGGGGGAUAACUAUUGGAAACGAUGGCUAAUACCGCAUAAGAGUAGAUGUUGCAUGACAUUUGCUUAAAAGGUGCAAUUGCAUCACUACCAGAUGGACCUGCGUUGUAUUAGCUAGUUGGUGAGGUAACGGCUCACCAAGGCGACGAUACAUAGCCGACCUGAGAGGGUGAUCGGCCACACUGGGACUGAGACACGGCCCAGACUCCUACGGGAGGCAGCAGUAGGGAAUCUUCGGCAAUGGACGGAAGUCUGACCGAGCAACGCCGCGUGAGUGAAGAAGGGUUUCGGAUCGUAAAGCUCUGUUGUAAGAGAAGAACGAGUGUGAGAGUGGAAAGUUCACACUGUGACGGUAUCUUACCAGAAAGGGACGGCUAACUACGUG